rnacentral:rRNA from 1 species
AAUGAACGUUGGCGGCACGGAUUAGGCAUGCAAGUCGGGGGAAUCCCAGCAAUGGGGGAACCGGCGUAAGGGGCAGUAAGGCAUGGGUACCUACCUUGGGGUUCGGGAUAGCCAUCAGAGAUGGUGGGUAAUACCGGAUGACGUCGUGAGACCAAAGAUUUAUCGCCCUUAGAGGGGCCCAUGUGAUAUUAGCUAGUUGGUGGGGUAACGGCCCACCAAGGCGAAGAUGUCUAGCGGGUGUGAGAGCACGACCCGCGCCACUCGCACUGAGACACUGGCGAGACACCUACGGGUGGCUGCAGUCGAGGAUCUUCGGCAAUGAGCGCAAGCUUGACCGAGCGAUGCCGCGUGAGCGAUGAAGGCCUUCGGGUUGUAAAGCUCUUUAGUGGGGGAGAAAAGCCGCAAGGUGUGAUCUAUCCCAAAAAUAAGCACUGGCUAAGUUCGUGCCAGCAGCCGCAGUAA